UUUUUUUUUUUUUUUUUAAUUUUCUAAACAUUAAACCUGUUCAUUUGUUCUUUUCACCCUUCUCUCUUUGUGUUCUUUGAUUGUUCCUUCGAUUUUUACUCUUCGAUUGUGUUUUCGAUUUUACUCUUCGAUUGUGCUCUUCGAUUUUACUCUUUGAAUUAAAUCUGUUUUCGAUUUUUAGGGUUUGUGAACCAAAAAUCGAAAGAUCCAUCAACAAUAUUAACAAAUGAAGAAUCAAAAAGAUCCAUCAACAAUGAACAAGAAUGCUCAAAUUCAUCUUUACAAUUGGCUGAAUUAGAAGGAAGUUCAAUUGAUGAGCUUUAAGUAGAUUGUCGGUGUAAUUUGUUCAAACGUAUAGGCCUGUUAUGUUGUCAUGCGAUUUGUGUUAUGAGUGCAAGGCAAAUAACACAAAUCCCAAAGCAAUAUAUCUUGGAUCGUUGGACAAAACUAGCUAUGAAGAAGCCUAUUUUUGAUAUGCAUGACAAUUUGAUUGAAGACCAUAAAAAUUUGGACAACACGGGAAAGUUGUUGGGGGAAGUUUGGUCGAAAAUAUUCCAUUGUGUUGGUUUAGUUGAAGGAAGUGAAAGUGAAUUACAAUCACUUCUAAAAAUCCUCAAGAAUUUUAGUAGAAAAUUGGAGGAAAGUGAUGAUGUAAGGUUGGAAAUUACGAAAGAACAACAAAUAGAAUUUUUGUUACGGCCAAAUUCAUCGCCAACAAUGGAAAUCCAUCGCCCAAUACAAUCAAAAAAUAAGGGAAAGAGGCAGAGGAUAGUUAGUGAAAAGGAAAAAAAUAUCAAGCAAAGUAAAAAGAACAAACGAAAGUGUAAAACUUGAGAGGAAUUUGAUUACCAUGAUAGUCGUAAUUGCCCAACAAGAAGAACAUCUUUGUAAAUAAGGUUGCUUUUGAUUACAAUGAUAGUCGUAAUUGCCCAACAAGAAGAACAAGUUGCUUUGGGUUGCUUGCUUUUGCUGUUUACAAGUUGCUGCUUUACAUGUUGAUUUAAAGUUGCUGUUUUGUUGCUAUUUCGCAUUUACAUGUAUUAUAUUAUGUUGUCAUGCACACAAAGUACGUUAUGGUGGAAAGAUUAAGAACAUAAUGAUCUUAAUCAAUUAUUAGCACGGAAUAGAACUUAAACUGCUUUGCUUGGAUUAUGCCCAUUUUAUGUUAUGUAUUUCAUCUUAUUUUAUGUCCAUUUUUAUAUUCAUAUUUAUGAAGAAAGCAUUUUAUGUUAUGUAUUUCAUCAUAAAUUCAUUUUUAUAUGAAUAUUUAUGAUAAAAGAAAGCAUCACAUUACUAUGAAGAAAGUAUCACAUAUUUAAAAAGAAAGCGUCACAUUUGUUUUGGUAAUAAAAAAAAGAGAUAGCCUGAAGAAAGCAUCACAUAUUUAUUAAGCAAGCAUCACAUAUUUAUGAAGAAAGCAUCACAAUUUGAUUUGGUCAUUAAAGAGAUAGCCUGGAGAAAGCAUCACAUAUUUAUUAAAAAAGAAUCACAUAUUUAUAAGGAAGGCAUCACAUCAUAUGUUUAUGAAGAAAGCAUCACAUAUUUGGUCAUUAAAGUGAUACUGUACUUGCAUGUUUGAUUCAUAAUAAAAACUGAAGUACUAAUAUCAUACUGCUCGAUAAAAUACUUGGCCAUACCUUGAUAACUCUUCUUAAUAUUCAACAUAAGCAGACCAUCAAAGCCAAUAUCUUUCAAAUCAGUCCUUUGUUUAUCUUUCGAAUUCUCACACAACGAAACCAUUUGAGAAGGAGAUGAAAGCAUAUGAAGUUGACCUUUUCUUCUGUAACCCAUGAAAGAAUCACAUGUUUAUGAAGAAAGUAUCACAAUAUGAACAAGAAAACAUCACAUAUUAAUCAAGGAAGCAUCACAGUUCAGUAAGGGUUCACUGAGUUCAGAAAUUAGUAGCACAGAAAGCAUCACAUUUGAUCAGAAUCACAUGUUAUAUCAGAAUCACAUGCAUCACACUUGAUCAGAAUCACUUGUUCGAUCAGAAUCAUAUUUUAUUUAAUCAAACAUUAGGAAAAAAGCAUCAUAUCAUAUGUUUAUUAAAAGUAAUUAGUUUAUCCAGCUAAAACUUACUUUU